rfam:Danio rerio chromosome 24, GRCz11 reference primary assembly.
GGCCACAGCCACAUCACCCUGCAGCCCAAGACCGGUUACUCACUGAAGCUAAGCAGGGCUGAGAAUGGUCAGUACCCGGAUGGGAGACCACAUGGGGAAACUAAUUUGCUGUUGGAA